ensembl:lncRNA
AAGGUAACAAAGCAAAUGUUUAUUUGUUACUGUAAUACAGUAAAAUGUUCAGCUGAACUGACUGCAUAAAAAGCUUUUCGUAGGUCAACAAAAAAAAUAAAAUAAGAAUAUAGAAGAGGUGAAACAGAUGUACAUGUAAAUCAGUCUGUAGCCCCCCUCCGAUCCCGAUCAGGCCAGAGGACCAUAUCUCCAACACAGCAGAGCUCACCUGAGGCCUCUGUUAUGCUCUGACACAUGAUUGAAGUGUUUUGCCAGUUGAGUUUCAACAGGUGAGAAGUGAGUCAGACUUAUUGGUAAUUAGUUGUUGCGUUUUGAAGGCCAGUGGUUCCAGGUGAACCAAGUGUGCUAAAUUAUGAGAUUUGGGCUUAGAGUUUUGCAAAAAUGUGAUUUAGAAUUUCUAUAUUUGUGAAAACAGUGGAAUUGUGCUUAGAGUUAAGCACCCAUUGAUACAUUUUUUGUGUGGAUACAAUCGAGAAAAACUAUAAUUUCUCAGCCGUUUAGCUGUGACUUCCGCUCCCAGGCGCCAGCCAACAUAAACUGCUUGCUGGAGCCGGGUUGUAGCUGCUUCCUACUCACAUUCCAUCUCUACCUCCUCAACCAACUCAGAGGCUGAGGAAAACAACAGAGCAGGCACAUCGUGAGGGUCAGGGUUAGGUGAAGAGGGUUUUGGAUGAUCACUAACAGACUUAUUUAGUUGAAGUGUCACUUGGACUUUUCUUGUUUCUUUCUUUUUUAUUCUUCAGACAAAAAAAACAUUGCACACAGUUUUAUCCGCUUUUGUCAUAUCUUAAGAUUCUAAAGUACGGGAAAAAAAUGUACUUACGGUACAUUCACAAUGACUCACAUUCACAUUGAGCUUUCUUUUGAUUGUGUUUCGAAGACCAAAGGGGCGGGAUUGCCAUUUAAAUCAUAGUGGCUGGCUCUGGUAUGUUUUUUAUUAAAAGUAAUCAAUAGGAGGUCCUCUAGCGCCAAUCAAACACUGAAUGAUCCAAUCCUUUACUUCCCUCUGGGAUGUCCCGCCCUAGUAUUCUGAUUUAACAACGCAUUACUGACAUAGUUGUUGUAACUAACAGUUGAAACAAUCUAAAUCACAGAUAAUUACAAAACUUUAUAAGAAAACCAUCCAAAUGUUCUUUAUUGGUCGACAGAUGUCAGAAGUCCUUUAUCUUGUUUUGUUUUAAAAGAAAUAAUGGUAACAAUGCCUCAUCAAGGUUGUUCCAGAAUACCUAAUUUGUUCCCAGUUAACGCGUGCUGUGCUUUCCUGAAGCAGAAGAAGUGACAUGAGAUCGAGGAUCACUGAUGAGGUAGAUGCCGUUGACUUGAACAAGGGAACAAAAUCUGAAGGGAAAUGGAAAGUGUGAAAACCCUCUUCCUUUUUCGAAUUAACCUGUCGAUAUUCAGCAAAACAUCAUCAGCAUUCAACAACCACAUGAGACUAAUCAUACAAAAUGAAAAAAUAGUUGUCUAAUUAGUGGUCGCAAAAAAAUCCAGUUCAUAGGCAGAGUAGAUCCAACAAAGACAAAAACACAACAGGUGGGCGGGGCUAAGAGGGGACUGGGGCGGAGUGAUACAUAAAGGGGUGAGUCGGUCAACACAACAGGUGGGCGGGGCUAAGAGGGGACUGGGGCGGAGUGAUGCAUAAAGGGGUGAGUCGGUCAACACAACAGGUGGGCGGGGCUAAGAGGGGACUGGGCGGAGUGAUACAUAAAGGGGUGAGUCGGUCAACACAACAGGUGGGC